rnacentral:rRNA from 1 species
GACGUAGGGCGCGAGCGUUGUCCGGAUUUAUUGGGCGUAAAGAGCUCGUAGGCGGCUCGUUGCGUCAAUCGUGAAAACCUACUGCUUAACGGUGGGCUUGCGGUUGAUACGGGCGGGCUGGAGUUCGGUAGGGGAGACUGGAAUUCCUGGUGUAGCGGUGAAAUGCGCAGAUAUCAGGAGGAACACCGGUGGCGAAGGCGAGUCCCUGGACAACACCUGACACUGAGGCACGAAAGCUAGGGGAGCAAACAGG